rnacentral:rRNA from 1 species
GACGAACGCUGGCGGCGUGCCUAAUACAUGCAAGUUGAGCGCUGAAGGUUGGUACUUGUACCAACUGGAUGAGCAGCGAACGGGUGAGUAACGCGUGGGGAAUCUGCCUUUGAGCGGGGGACAACAUUUGGAAACGAAUGCUAAUACCGCAUAAAAACUUUAAACACAAGUUUUAAGAUUGAAAGAUGCAAUUGCAUCACUCAAAGAUGAUCCCGCGUUGUAUUAGCUAGUUGGUGAGGUAAAGGCUCACCAAGGCGAUGAUACAUAGCCGACCUGAGAGGGUGAUCGGCCACAUUGGGACUGAGGACCGGCCCAAACUCCUACGGGAGGCAGCAGUAGGGAAUCUUCGGCAAUGGACGGAAGUCUGACCGAGCAACGCCGCGGGGAUGAAGGAGGUUUUCGGAUCGUAAAACUCUGUUGGUAGGGAAGAACGUUAGUGAGAGUGGAAAGCUCAUCAAGUGACGGUAACUACCCAGAAAGGGACGGCUAACUACGUG